rnacentral:rRNA from 1 species
CAGUCGCCGCGGUAAUACAGAGGGUGCGAGCGUUAAUCGGAUUUACUGGGCGUAAAGCGUGCGUAGGCGGCUAAUUGAGUCGGAUGUGAAAUCCCCGAGCUUAACUUGGGACUUGCAUUCGAUACUGGUUAGCUAGAGUGUGGGAGAGGAUGGUAGAAUUCCAGGUGUAGCGGUGAAAUGCGUAGAGAUCUGGAGGAAUACCGAUGGCGAAGGCAGCCAUCUGGCCUAACACUGACGCUGAGGUACGAAAGCAUGGGGAGCAAACAGGAUUAGAUACCCGUGUAGUCCCUGUCUCUUAUAC